CAGGGUAAUAUGCAAAUAAAUGUCCUUGCCAGGAACUAAUAGCUACAAGGGGAAGAAAACUUCUUGCCAUCUGGAACUGUCAAAAGAGCUAGGAAGAUCUACAUCUUGGCCCACCGAUGUGGAAUUUAAAUGAACAUUGGAGCGAUAAGCAAAAAAGAAACAAGCCAAUCUCAAGGCACACAAUAAGCAAAUAGCAACAGAAGCAAAACAAAUAACUCUUAAAUAAGCAGCAAUAACAAAACCCAAGAGAACGGAAGCAGUCAAGUUAAGAAAUCCCAAGGCCUUCUGGAAAAGCAUGGCUUUCACCAAAUGUCUAAUAGCCAAUAAGGAGGGAACAGAAUGGAUUUCUCCAGGGACGUCUACAACCUUGGGGCCAUGGCUGAAAAGGCCCUGCCUCGGACAUUGUACUUCAGAAGGCAGAAUGACCUAGAGUAGAAGAUUUUUAAGUACAGAUUCCACCGCGAUUCAGUUGGGAAGAACACCUGCAUGCUUGCCUACAGAAUGAUACAAGUUCCUUCCCUGGCAUCUCCAAGAUAGGGCUAGGAAAGAUUCCUGCCUGCAACCUUGGAGAAGCCGCUGCCAGUGUGUGCAGACAAUACUGCGCUAGAUGGACCAAUGCUCUGAUUUGGUAUAAGGCAGCUUCCUAUGUUCCUAUCUCCAGUUCCCUGUGCCUCCUGAAAAUAAGUCCCUAGGCUCUCUCUAAGAUCUGUCCUUGGAAAAGCCUGUGGCUCAGUGGGCAAGAAUGUGCUUUGGAUUCAGGAUAUCUCAGGUUCAAUCCUUGACAUCAUCU